CCCCAAGGAAGAGAUAUGAGACUGACCUUUUCCCACUUCUUUGCACAGGUGGCUGGUCAUGGGUGUGAAUUACAAUCUAUAAUUUCAUACUUGGUUGAGGGAAACUGAUUAGGAAAAGCAAAAGAGAGUCCCAGCCUCAACAAUGAUCUGUUUCUAACCACUCCUGUUCUGAACAGGACAUCGUAAAGUUUGGGAGGAAUUUGCCAAGAAAAAGGGAGAUCUGCAAAGGUUUAUGGAACAUUCAGGAGCUAGCGGGGGAAGGAAGAAUUCCAUGGAAGAUUCAAAAAAGGAGAAACUGUUGGCCAGAGGAGUUUCUGAUCAGUCUCUUACCUAAGACUCUGAAAAGAUCUGUAUUUUCUCCUUUGUCUGGAAGCUUUUGAUCUUGGCUAUAAUGUCCCUGGAAGUUGUCAUUUGGGGAUUUAUUACACCAACAUGCAAUUCCAUUGUGUCCAAAAAAUCAGCUUUUUGAGGGGGCAAAGAAUUGAAAAGUGAAGUGAUGCUCAUCAGAUGAAGAAUGGCUGAGUAUAUUCAAGUAUGAUUGUAAAGGAAUAUUAUUUCCCUGUAAGAAAUGACAAGCAAGAGGAGCUCAGAAAACCUGGAAAAGUUUACAUAAACUGAAGCACAGUGAAGUAAGCAGAACCAGAAGAACACUGUACACAGUAAUAGCAAUAUAAUAUGAUGAAUAACUGUGAGUAACUUAGCUAUUUUCAGUAAUAAAAUCAUCCAAAGCAUUCCCA
rnacentral:lncRNA from 1 species